UGUUUAUAAAAUAUAUAUUUAUAUAUUUAUAAAUAUGUUUAUAAAAUAUAUAUUUAUAAACAAAUAACUAAUAUAUCACAUUCAUACAUCUGAACCAUGUGAAUGCAUUAUCUAAAACAUUAUAAACAAAGUUUACCAAGGCAGAAUUUUUACAUGUAGACAUCUCAUGAUUCAAAAUGAAUCAGAAAGCUUUGAGGUUCCUUUCUUCCCCCUCCAUAAAGCUCCUCCAUCCUGUCACUACUCACUGGAUUGCUACAGUUCAUGCAUCAUUAUAACUGAUGGCUUCUUAGCAAAGUUAUGAUCAUACAUCAAAUACUCGUUUUAUAAUUUAAAGUGACUGCAGAAUUUACAGGUGCAGUUUCUCGUUCCUCAGCAUUGUGCUUCCUCUGUGCUAGGCCCUGUUGUGUUCUGAGCAUUCUCUUCAUCUCCCUAAUAUCCUGUGAGGUAGGCACUAAUUUUAUCCUUAUUUUAUAGAUGAGAAAACAAGUGCAUAAAAAUACCUACUAACAGUGGACGUGUGCUCUUUACCACUCUAUAUCACCUGCUAUGUUCCUAGGAUAUAUGUAAAACCAAAACCAAAACCAACCAAACAAAAUUCAUCUAAGCGCCAAGAUAAAGCACGGCUUUAUGUAAGUCACUGAGAAAUAUUUGUUGAAAUCUCAAUUUGCAUCCUCAUAGAGUAUGUGUACACAUGUUUUGAAAACACUAUAGUUGGCCGGGCGCGGUGGCUCACGCCUGUAAUCCCAGCACUUUGGGAGGCCAAGGCGGGCGGAUCACAAGGUCAGGAGAUCGAGACCAUCCUGGCUAACAUGGUGAAACCCCAUCUCUACUAAAUAUACAAAAAAUUAGCCGGGCGUGGUGGCGGGCGCCUGUAGUCCCAGCCAUGGGAGGCUGAGGCAGGAGAAUGGCGUGAACCUGGGAGGCGGAGCUUGCAGUGAGCCGAGAUCGCGCCACUGCACUCCAGCCUGGGCGACAGAGUGAGACUCAGUCUCAAAAGAAAAAAAAAAAAGAAACACAAAAAACAAAACAAAAAAUAAAACACUGUAGUUUCUUUUGCAUUGCAUUCUUAAACAAAUCUGUAUUCUAUGAUCAGCUAUUUCCAACAAUCUAGAAAUUAACAGCGCUUACCUCUUUGGAUACAGAGGAAUAAAAACAUCAUCUUCUACUGCCUUUUUCAUUCUUGAAACAAUGGAUUUAAGUAAAUCCUAUUAUUACAAAUUUGAAAAGCAUCAGUGAUAGAAGAUAGAAAUGUAUUUACCAAAAAAAAAGUAAUUUUAACUGCAGUACAAAUUUAUCCACACUCACAUAACCAGCUGUUAAAAUAACUAUCAAUUGGGUACAAAAAAAACCUUAUUUAUCCAUGUUGCUACAUAUGGGUAUAGUUGGAUCAAUUUCAUUGCUAUAUAGUAUUUUGUUGCAUGAAUACUAUUGAUGGAACACUUAGGUGAUUUCUGGUUUGGUGGCUAUUAUAAAUAAUGCUGCCAUAAAAAUUCUUGUACAUGUCAUUUAGUAUGCAUGGUCAUACAUUUCUAAUGGGUAUAUAAAUAGAAAUGGAAUGGCUGGAGUACAGUUCAUGUCCAUACGUUCAACUACGUACAAAAAACCAAACGGUUUCUAGAAUAGUGGCAUCCCAUUUACAUCAUUCCUGCAGUAUAAAAUAAAUCCUGUUUCACUACAUACUUACGAUAAUUGGCAUUUUCUUGUUUUUUAAUGUUUGCAAUUAUAGUGGGUAUGCAGUCAUAUUUCAUUUUGUUGUUUUAAUUCUCAUUUAAUUAUCAUUGAGUAAUGUGCUGUUGGGCAUCUUUUCAUAUUCCUAUUUGCCACUUGGCAAGCCGUUUUGCAAAGUACCUAAUUAAGCUGCUUGCCAACAUUGCUAUUUUUUUGUAUUAGGUUCUGUCUUUUUAUUACUGAUUUGUACAAGUCUUUUAUAUACUCCAGCUGUGGGUCCUUUGUUGGAAAAUCCACUUAGGGAAAUCCAUUUUGUUUGUACAUAAAAAAAUUGGAAAUGACCAAACUAUUCAAUCACAGGGAAUUUUAAGGAGAUGUUACAUCGCUCCAGUGAAUCUAUCAUAAACUUUAGCUGAAGAUUAUGAUGACUACAGUAACAGACAACUAUAAAUACGCAAUGAGAUAACAUUAAGCAGAAGUAGUAUACUAACUUACAUGCCUAUUAGGAUUAUAACUUUGAAAAAAAAGCCAGGAUGAAAAUAUCCUACGAUGGUAUUAAUCCUUGUACUAGGAUGAAAGACAAUGAGUGUUUAUUUUUUUCAUAUAUUAGCAAUAUUUAUAUUAUUUAUAUAAUGAUAUUCUUAUUCAUAUUUGAAAAAUAAAAAUGGCAUACUACACAUUAGAGUAAAAGUUAAUUUUUAAGUCAAUGACAAUGUAUACAGCACAAAUUCAACUGUCACAUACUAUAUACUAACUGAAUUAUCCAUAAAUGUAGAAUUCAAAUAUAUUUUUCUUAAAAAGCAUGACCUGAAGUCGUUUCUCUUUCCACUUAAUUAUCUAUAACAUAUUCCUCAAGUGGCCAUAUAUCAACAUUUAUUUAAUGUUAAAAAUUAAAACUCAGUUGUAUUUUACUCCAUUCUUUAAACAUUCUGAAUUCUGUUCAAAGAAAAAAAAGCAUUUUCUAGACAGUAUCUCCAAAAAAUAGCAUCUGAGUUUAUGUAACUUACUGAGUUAGGUGUUCAUGAUACAAAAAAAGCUGCUUUGAUUUUUUUCAUUUAAUUUUAAUGAUUUUGGAUGCUGGCCUUGACAAAUGUUCCCAUAUUGUUUAAAUUUUGUUUCUUAAAAUAGUUCUAUUGAAAAUGUUAUAAAGGACAUUAUUGAAUCAACUGGCAAAAGUGGAAUAUGGAUGGUAGAUUAAGUGUUGAUAAAUUUACUGAAAUUGCUAACUACUCUGGUUAUAUAACAUAAUAUCCUUGUCUUAACAAAUAUGCACCCUGUUCUCAGUACUCAGGAGAAAACAUAUUGUAUGUAUAUAUUUAAAAUGGAAGGGCUAAUGAUAAAGCCAAUGGGGCAAAAUAUUAAUGACAAGUAAAUCUUGGUAAAGGGAAUAUGGAAAUACUACUCUUAUUCAUGAAAGUUUUCUUUCAAAGUAUUAAUAUUUCCAAAUAAAUUGUUUAAAACAAAACAUAAAUUCACUGGCCGGUUGCCGUGGCUCAUGCCUGUAAUCCUAGCACUUUGGGAGGCUGAGGUGGGUGGGUCACUUGAGGCCAGGAGUUUGAGACCAGCCUGGCCAACAUGGUGAAACCCUGUCUCUACUAAAAAUAGAAAAAAUUAGCCACACAUGGUGGCACAUGCUUGUAAUCCCAGCUGCUUGGCAGGCUGAGGCACAAGAAUCGCUUGAACACAGGAGGUGGAGGUUGCAGUGAGCUGAGAUUGCACCACUGCACUCCAGCCUGGGUGACAGAGUAAGGUUCUGUCAAAAAAAAAAAAAAAAACAAAAAAAAGAAAAGAAACCUCCCAUAAAUUCACAUAUUUUAAAACCGUGAGAUAUUAACUUUUCUAAGUAUUAAAUAACAUCAUUUGUUUGAUGGAAAAUAAGGUUCUCCAAACAGUUUUAACAAGCAUUCUGAAUCACACUUUCAGACUCACAUACAACCCUUUGUGUAUAUAUAUAUACUUUGAAACAGCUUUAAAGAGGCACUUGUGUGAUGCCAAUGGUUUUUAUGCUGUUCUCUAUAUCCAUGGAGGUAAUCCCAGGAUGGCCUGGACAAAUGUUGGGGAUGGUUGGGGAAGAAUAAAGGCAGGUGCUCACAACAGUAGGAGCAGUUUUACUUCUGUAUGUGUGUUUGCGUAUCGGAUUGCGUAAGAUUUAUUUGAAAUAGAUUCUGUUGAUAAAAAAGAAAAAACAAAAAAUGAGUCUGAAAAUCUAUCUGAACUCCCAAGUGAUGUUUAGACUUAUUUUCACAUUUCUACUAAAUGGUCCACCAGCCAUGUCUAAAACCAUUUGCUGAUAGGGGAUCAUUAUCUCCUGAGGCUGCCCAUAACUUUGGACUAUUAGAUUUCAGUUAACAAUGAGAGUUAACAAACUUUUCCCUCCCACAGCUUCCACUCCUUGGUCUUGGUUUACUUCUUGGGAUCAUAUAGAAUAGAACUAGCCCCACUUCCACAUGACAAUUUUCUAGAUUUUAAGAUGAAUAUCAUACUUUUUUUUUUUUUACAUCUUCUCUUUCCCAUACUAUCUUAAGACACUCUCCACUUAAUAUGCUUACACCGAAAAUUAAAUGCAAUAUUCCCAGGAAGGUCUAAUCUGUGGGUAUUAUCACCAAAUAUGCCAUUCUUACUCAAAAUAGCACACACAUACUAGGAGAAACUCCCAUGUACCUGUUUUCUGUUACUCAAGUGACACUGCUGACUCACGCUGGGUUUAUUGAUUAUAAUCUGUCUUACUUAUGCUGCUUCAAAACUGUGUCUCUCUCAUCUUUUACUUAUAUAGUUGAAUUUUUAAACGCAUGGGUGGGACAUGCAUUUAUUUUUUCACAAUUUCUUGAAUCAGUCAAUUUUCUACAAUCUUUUGAAAUCUUCUUGGAUUCUAAUUCUACCAUCCACAAGUCUUACAGAAUUCCUAGCUUUUUGUCACUGACACAUUUCAUUAGUAUGUAUUUUAACUCCUUAUCCAGUUCAAUAAAAAUAUUGAACAGGGCAAAGCUGAGAAGAUAUCUAAUACUAACAGACUCCCCAUAGGUAGCCAAUGCCCUACUGGCCAUUAUUUUUUAGGUUUACUUAAGCUUAUAUUUCCCCAUUUAAUCCCUAAGAACAAUCAUAAUAACAAUUUGCUUCAAUAAACAAUGUUAAGUAUCAUUUGUAUUUGGGAAUCCUAUCAAUGACAGAUUAUAGUAAUUACUGCUUUUUAAAUUUAAGUAUUCAUAAUCUUCCUCUAUAAUAAUUUACUUUAGAUUUUUAGUCAGAAUCAAAACUAUUAUUACCAGGCAUUAGCUUACAGCAUUUCCUUCUAACUUUGAAAACAGAAACUAUGUUGUCUGACUCAAUUUUCAUUCUUGAACCUCAUUCUCUUUCAUCACUGAAGAAAUGGAGUGAUCCCACUGGUGAACUGUCUUAGCAACAUGGGGCAUUAUAUAGUGUAAGUGAUUCUCUACCAAGUGCCAUUUUGCCAUCCCUAGGGAAUACCUGACAAUGUGUAGACAUUUUUGGUUGUGAAGACCGGGGAGUGCUACUGCCACCUAGUGGGCACAAGCCAGGGAUGCUGCUAAGCAUACUAUAGUGCACAGGACAAACCCUCACAACAAAAAAUUAUCUGUUCCAAAUGCCAAUGUAGUGCUGAGACUGAAAACCCUGAUGUAAUCUAUUCUCCUGCUUAUGAAAACAACCCAUUUUCUACAUUCACAGCAGAGCGGUUUCAGAAUAAAAACAUCCAUUAUAAAAACUGCUUGAGUUUGCCUGUAAUCCCAGCACUUUGGGAGGCCGAGGUGGGCGGAUCACAAGGUCAGGAGAUCAAUACCAUCCUGGCUAAUACAGUGAAACCCCGUCUCUACUAAAAGCACACAAAAUUAGCCAGGCAUGGUGGCAGGUGCCUGUAGUCCCAGCUACUCGGGAGGCUGAGGCAGGAGAAUUGCUUGAACCUGGGAGGCGGAGGUUGCAGUGAGCCAAGAUCACACCACUGCACUCCAGCCUGGGUGACAGAGCAAGACUCCGCCUCAAAAAAAAAAAAAAGACUUCAUGAGUGAAUCCAUAAUACUGCUGAAGGGCUUCAGUGAUCACAAAGAGCCAGGUCUACCACUUAGUAUUCAAGUAUUUCAAAAAUGACUUAACCCUUCUGGGCCCCAGCUUCAUCUGUAAAAAUGCAAUUAAAAUAAAUACAUUUCACAGGGUUAUGAGGAUCAAAUGAGACAAUGUGAAAGUAUUUAACAAAUGGUAAAGCAUAAUGAUUUACAUUUAGGUUAUAACUAAACAAUACUAUAUGGAAAGCAAAUGCAGGAUUAUAUAUCUGCUUCUUUGUAGCUUUUAACUACUAAUCUUGGUUCUAUGCUGCAUAACAGCACAGAAUAAAUCUAUACCUUCUUUGAAUACAAACAGCAUCUCUCUGUACAUCUUUCAAAUUAAAUAUCUCUAAUUCCUGCAACAGUUUCCAUCUAUUUUACUUGAGUUUUUAUCCUAUUGGAGGUAAGCAGAAAAUGCCUCUCUCUCUGUUGCCACAUGUUGAAAUCCUAUUCUUUCCCUCAAGCCACAGUUCAAAUGCCACCCCUAAGAUAAAUUAUUUCCUUAUCCCCACUGCUGAAGGUAACCUCUCUCUCCUGUCUCUCUCCUGAAGACACAGUACUUUAUCUAUGCUGCUCAAGGGGAGGCAACAUGGUCAGUGAGGCAAACUUGGGCUUUAGAGGCAGACUAUCCAAGUUCAAAUCCUAGUGCUCAUUCAUAGUAGCACUGUGACAACUAGUUUUAAAGAUUCAUUUUCUUCAUCUAUAAAAUGAGGCUGUCAUCCUUUUAAGAGACAGGGUUUUGCUGUUGCCCAGGCUGCAGUGUGGUGGCACAAUCAAGGCUCAAUGCAGCUUCAACUCCUGGGCUCAAGGGGGAGCCCAGCUAAUUUUUAUUUUUUUGGUAGAGAUGGAUCUUGCUAUGAUGCCCAGGCUGGUCUUGAACUCUUGGCCUGAAGAGAUCCUCCUGCCUCAGCCUCCCAAAGCACUCAGAUAUACAGGCGUGAUCUGCCAUACCUGGCGAUCACCCAUUUUUUAAAUAGGGCUGCUGGGAUUAAGAUGACAGGUACAAGACCUUACAGAGUGCCUAGUACACAAUUGGAAUUAAAUAAGUGUUUGUUAUCUUCCCUACUUCUCCUUUUCACUUCCAGUUUUAAGUUACAGUUUAUGUGCAUCUUAUUUUCUCUGAGAUUACAUGCUUCUUGAAGGCAGAAUUAGGCUGGUAUCCCUUUUCUCCCUUUCAUUUCUUACAGCUAUCCUCCUUUGUAAUCACAGUUCCAAGGGCUAAAACUUAAUGGUGCUCAUAAUAUGAAUAUGAUAUGCCUCCUUGCUUUUCAACCACCUCUGUCAUUCUACUCCGGGCAUUCUCCAGUCUGUCAAUUUCUCCUUAAUUUCCUAAAGCUCAACCUAAAAUUGGUUUACUCAUAAAACUGCAUGAAUCUACAAUCUCAUCAACAAACAAUAAAAAAAAAUGCUACAAUGAAAGAGUGAGAAGAUUCUCAGCAACAUCACUCUAAAAAGUUCCCCAAUAUGUCUUAUGUUCACUGAAUUCAAUUCUAGAUCAUUGUAAGAUUAAGAUCUGUUUUACUGAACUUUGAAUCCUUAAAGAGACUACUAUUAUUUGGUAGACUACAAAUAACUAGUUAAUACAAUAAGUGUCAGUCUAAUUUUGAAACCAUUGUUCAAGCAAAGCCACAAUGCCACUGGAUUUUUGCCAAAAGAACAAAGGUAAUGAGUAUUGUUGUCUUCCUUUAGAAGAAAUGAAUUUGCACUAAUGAAUUUAUACCGGUUCAUCUCUGCAGGGCCAGUGUAUAUUCAUAAUCCUGAAAGAUGGCUGCCUGGGCCAUGAGAACACAAAUCAGAUCACUGAACAGAGAAAAGUACCUUCGAGAUUCAAUCUCUUCUAAAAUCCACUGAGUUUUUUCAUCUACUGAGAAGUUUCCACUUGUGGAUGUCUCAUCUUUGCCUGUUAAUAAAUAAAAUUGACUUCAUACUACAAAUUCUCAAAAGAAAAAAGUAAAAUGCUUUGAAAAUAAAGGUAAUAUCAUGGAUGUAUAAACAUAUGCAUAUGUAAAUACAUAAAUAUGCUUAAAUUUUGCAAUUAAUUAUGCAAUGACAUUUCAAUGUUAACUCUUUAUUGCAAUAUUAACAGGCAUGAGGUUCAUUAGCCUAAAAAUGUACUUUGGCUGGUGUACUUUUGCUGUUGUUGAGAACAGCAACAAAGUUCUACCACAAAGUUUCGUUUUCUCAUAUUCUUUUCCAGUAGUUUCUACCAGUUUUUUUCCAUAGCCAAAUGCAAGAAAUAUUGGCUUUGCCAAUACAGGAGUCCCCCCUAAUCUGCAGGGGACACCUUCUAAGAACCCCAGUCGAUGCCUGAAACUGCAUAUAGCACCAAACCCUAUUUGUUUUUUCCUCUAUAUACACACCUAUGAUAAAGUUUAAUUUAUAAAUUAGGCACUGUAAGAGACUAACAAUAGCAAUAAAGUAGAACAAUGAAAAUAAUAUAUUGUAAGUUAUACGAAUGUUGGGUAUCUCUCUCUCAAAAUAUCUUAUUGUACUGUACUUAUUCAUUUUUGGACCAUUGUUGACUGAAACUGUGGAAAGCAAAACUGCAGAUUAGAGGGAUUACUGUAUUCUAUUCAUAUUAUUUCUUAUUUUAAUACGUAAUACCAUUAUUUAUGAUCCACUAAGGGUUGUGUGUUUCACUGAAAGUCACUUUGCCUUUGCAUUUACUAGCUACUUGGUUAUGGUCUUUCACUAUCUCCUGAUAGCACCUUAAUCAAAGGAAGAUAUCUCUGAAAGUACAAAAUCAAUGCGAAAAAAAAAAGAGGAGGCAUCCGUAUUUUAUAUAAUGAGAUCUUAAAAUCUGUAUUGAAACUCACCAGAACCAAUCUGUAAAAGGGCUCUGAAACUAUGAAGUUAGACUUCUGACAGAGCCUCCAGAAUUAUGUGAACUUGUCUCAAAACAUUCUCUAAAUGGCUAUGUACAUAUUCUGUCUGAAAUAGUAAAUAACUGGAAGUCAUGUUUAUUUUUGAGUCUUGGACUUAAUUUAAAACAUUCUUAAGUCCUAUUUCUAAAUGUUUUGAGUUUUUGGAAGUUGGUGGGUAAAGGGUUUGUGGGAAAAUACAUGAAAAACAUGUUUAUAAAAAUAAAAAUAUUUUUAUUCUUCACAUAAUUUAGCUUAAUGAAUAAUAAAUUGUAUGGAACACGAAAAACA